rnacentral:lncRNA from 1 species
CUCAACAGACUAAUCUAGCUGAUGAUAGAUUAAGCCAACUACAACAAUUGAUCAUGACUAACAACAAUCUAUCACUAGGCUAGAAGCACAAAUAAGAUAAUUAGCUGAGUCUACCAUAAGGAGAGAACCAGAUCAACUCCCAAGCCAACCAAUACCAAAUCCUAGGAACAACCCAUCCACUCAUCAACCACCUGGACCUAGUCAUCAAUCCAAUAUCCCAUCUAAGAAUCCUCAAUUUGAAAAUGCCAAAGCAAUUACUGAACUUAGAAGUGAUAGGAUUCUUAAGAACCCAUACCAAGAUCAGGUGAGAGAAGCUAGUACUGAUGCUAGCCCAAAUAAAAAUUAAAAAAAAAGAUUAGUACCGAGGCUAACCCAAUAGAAGAAUCUGAGCCUGAAACUGAUAUUGAGAA